CGACCGGCGCACGGGUGCGUAACGCGUAUGCAACUACCUUUAACAGGGGAUAACACUGAGAAAUUGGUACUAAUACCCCAUAAUAUCAUAGAAGGCAUCUUUUAUGGUUGAAAAUUCCGAUGGUUAGAGAUGGGCAUGCGUUGUAUUAGCUAGUUGGUGGGGUAACGGCUCACCAAGGCGACGAUACAUAGGGGGACUGAGAGGUUAACCCCCCACACUGGUACUGAGACACGGACCAG
rnacentral:rRNA from 1 species